rnacentral:rRNA from 1 species
AUACGGAGGGAGCGAGCGUUAAUCGGAAUUACUGGGCGUAAAGCGCGCGUAGGCGGCUUUGUAAGUCGGAUGUGAAAGCCCUGGGCUUAACCUGGGAAUGGCAUUCGAUACUGCAGAGCUAGAGUAUGGUAGAGGGAAGUGGAAUUCCGGGUGUAGCGGUGAAAUGCGUAGAUAUCCGGAGGAACACCAGUGGCGAAGGCGGCUUCCUGGACUAAUACUGACACUGAGGUACGAAAGCGUGGGGAGCAAACAGGAUUAGAAACCCCGGUAGUCC